UACGUAGGGUGCAAGCGUUGCCCGGAUUUAUUGGGCGUAAAGGGCGCGUAGGCGGCUCGGCACGUCCGUCGUGAAAUCGCCCGGCUCAACUGGGCGGGGUCAGCGGAUACGGUCGAGCUUGAGCAAGCUAGGGGGCAAUGGAAUUCCCGGUGUAGUGGUGGAAUGCGUAGAUAUCGGGAGGAACACCAGUGGCGAAGGCGGUUGCCUGGGGCUUUGCUGACGCUGAUGCGCGAAAGCGUGGGGAGCGAACAGG
rnacentral:rRNA from 1 species